GGGUGAUGAAGGCCUUCGGGUCGUAAAGCCCUGUCAACAGGGAAGAAACUCCGGGGAGCGAAUAGGUCUCCGGAUUGACGGUACCUGUGGAGGAAGCACCGGCUAACUCCGUGCCAGCAGCCGCGGUAAAACGGAGGGUGCAAGCGUUGUUCGGAAUUACUGGGCGUAAAGCGCGUGCAGGUGGCUUUUUAAGUUUCGUGUGAAAUCCCAUGGCUUAACCAUGGAACGGCACGGAAAACUGAAAAGCUUGAGGGUGGGAGAAGAGGGCGGAAUUCCCAGUGUAGAGGUGAAAUUCGUAGAUAUUGGGAGGAACACCGGUGGCGAAAGCGGCUCUCUAGACCAUUUCUGACACUCAUACGCGAGAGCGUGGGUAGCAAACAGGAUUAGAUACCCUGGUAGUCCACGCUGUAAACGAUGGAUGCUAGGUGUUGCGGGAGUUGACCCCCGCAGUGCCGAAGCCAACGCAUUAAGCAUCCCGCCUGGGAAGUACGGUCGCAAGACUAAAACUCAAAGGAAUUGACGGGGGCCCGCACAAGCGGUGGAGCAUGUGGUUCAAUUCGACGCAACGCGAAGAACCUUACCUAGGCUUGACAUGUGCAGAACCCCUCUGAAAGG
rnacentral:rRNA from 1 species